rnacentral:rRNA from 1 species
ACGGAGAAGGUUAGCUCAGCCAACUGUUGGAUAUGUUGGUUCAAGCAUGUAGGCGUGCUCUUUAGGCAAAUCCGGAGAGCUUAGCUGAGGUGUGAUAACGAGUCUGCUUGCAGACGAAGUGAGUGAUACCCUGCUUCCAGGAAAAGCCACUAAGCUUCAGCUAUAGAUUGACCGUACCGCAAACCGACACUGGUGCGCGAGAUGAGUAUUCUAAGGCGCUUGAGAGAACUCUGGAGAAGGAACUCGGCAAAUUGACACCGUAACUUCGGAAGAAGGUGUGCCUUUAGUAGGUGAACCAUUUACUUGGGGAGCCCAAUGAGGUCGCAGAGAAUCGGUGGCUGCAACUGUUUAAUAAAAACACAGCACUCUGCAAAGACGAAAGUCGACGUAUAGGGUGUGACGCCUGCCCGGUGCUGGAAGAUUAAUUGAUGGGGUGCAAGCUCUUGAUCGAAGUCCCAGUAAACGGCGGCCGUAACAAUAACGGUCCUAAGGUAGCGAAAUUCCUUGUCGGGUAAGUUCCGACCUGCACGAAUGGCGUAAUGAUGGCCACACUGUCUCCUCCAGAGACUCAGCGAAGUUGAAAUGUUUGUGAUGAUGCAAUCUCCCCGCGGAAAGACGGAAAGACCCCAUGAACCUUUACUGUAGCUUUACAUUGGACUUUGAACAGAUCUGUGUAGGAUAGGUGGGAGGCUUUGAAGCCAGGACGCUAGUUCUGGUGGAGCCAACGUUGAAAUACCACCCUGGUGUGUUUGAGGUUCUAACCUUGGCCCGUUAUCCGGGUUGGGGACAGUGUAUGGUGGGCAGUUUGACUGGGGCGGUCUCCUCCCAAAGUGUAACGGAGGAGUUCGAAGGUACGCUAGAUACGGUCGGAAAUCGUGUUGAUAGUGCAUUGGCGUAAGCGUGCUUGACUGCGAGACUGACGAGUCGAGCAGGUACGAAAGUAGGACAAAGUGAUCCGGUGGUUCUGUAUGGAAGGGCCAUCGCUCAACGGAUAAAAGGUACUCUGGGGAUAACAGGCUGAUACCGCCCAAGAGUUCAUAUCGACGGCGGUGUUUGGCACCUCGAUGUCGGCUCAUCUCAUCCUGGGGCUGUAGCCGGUCCCAAGGGUAUGGCUGUUCGCCAUUUAAAGAGGUACGUGAGCUGGCUUUAAAACGUCGUGAGACAGUUUGGUCCCUAUCUUCCGUGGGCGCUGCAAGAUUGAGAGAGCCUGCUCCUAGUACGAGAGGACCGGAGUGGACACACCUCUGGUGUAUCGGUUGUCACGCCAGUGGCAUUGCCGAGUAGCUAAGUGUGGAAGAGAUAACCGCUGAAAGCAUCUAAGCGGGAAACUCGUCUCAAGAUGAGUCUUGCCGGGGCCUUGAGCCCCCUGAAGAGUCGUUCAAGACCAGGACGUUGAUAGGUUGGGUGUGGAAGCGCAGUAAUGCGUUAAGCUAACCAAUACUAAUUGCUCGUGAGGCUUGACCCC